rnacentral:rRNA from 1 species
UACGUAGGGGGCAAACGUUGUUCGGAAUUACUGGGCGUAAAGGGUGCGUAGGCUGUUUGGAAAGUUAUGUGUGAAAGCCCGGGGCCUAACUCCGGAAUUGCAUGUAAAACUACCAAACUAGAGUUGAUGAUAGAGGUAGCAGGAAUUUCUGGUGUAGGAGUGAAAUCUGUAGAUAUCAGAAGGAACACCAAGGGCGAAGGCAAGCUGCUAGGUAUCAACUGACGCUGAGGCACGAAAGCUAGGGGAGCGAAUGGG